UACGUAGGGUGCAAGCGUUAAUCGGAAUACUGGGCGUAAAGCGUGCGCAGGCGGUGAUGUAAGACAGAUGUGAAAUCCCCGGGCUCAACCUGGGAACUGGCAUUUGUGACUGCAUCGCUGGAGUGCGGCAGAGGGGGAUGGAAUUCCGGCGUGUAGCAGUGAAAUGCGUAGAUAUGCGGAGGAACACCGAUGGCGGAAGGCAAUCCCCUGGGCCUGCACUGGACGCUCCAGUGCACGAAAGCGUUG
rnacentral:rRNA from 1 species